rnacentral:lncRNA from 1 species
UGUUUUAUUCAGUGUUUAUCAAUCACAAAAUAAAUAUGACGUGAAACUCUUCUCAGGCCUGCAGGGUAUGGCGGUGGUUGACGAGUUUGGAGGGGUGGAAGAGAGCAGAGUUCAUCAUGCAGCAUCUCAGAGCAUCGUUCUGAGAGGAAAACACACUGAUGUGAUCUUCCGGAUGGACUGUGCUCCACCGAAGAAUUCUGUGGAGCUGUAUUGUAAUGGUGAAUGCAAAAAUAAUUCAGUGUAUGAAAGUCAAAUCGGUGCUGUUUCAUUUGAACAGAUUUCUGUAUUUAAAUACGUCAUUUCGGGGUUGAUCUCUGUCGAUCUUCUCAAGAACAGUCACAUAACGCUGCAAACAGGAGCACUUCUGAUGGCAUCUUCAUCUUCCUGCCCAUCAUCAUCAUCUUCAUUUUUGUCACCUAGAUUUAUUGGGUCGUUUCUGUAGGUUUUCUGGUGACUUUGGAUUCUGUGACGUGGAGACCAAACCCAGAGAUGAACCGCAAAAACACAGCAGAAAUCAUAACAUAUCAUACUAAAAAUAUCUGUCUAUCUA